rnacentral:rRNA from 1 species
CGGGGGAAGCGAUGAAAUGCUUAUAAUUCUGGAGGAAUACCGGUGGCGAAGGCGCCCCCCNGGGACAAAGACUGACGCUCAGGUGGGAAAGSGUGGGGAGCAAACAGGAUUAGAUWCCCUGUAGGUCCACGCCGUAAACRAUKUCGACUUGGRGGUKGKUCCCUGGAGGAGUGGCUUCGGAAGCWAAGGGGUUAAGUCGRCCGCCUGGGGAGUACGGCCGCAAGGUUAAAACUCAAAUGAAUUGACGGGGGCCCGSACAAGCGGUKGRSCAUGUGGUUUAAUUGGAUGCAACGGGAAGRACCUUACCUACUCUUGAMAUCCAGGGAAUUUUGMAGAGANUCCCUUGGGCCCUUCGGGAACGUUGAGACAGGUGCUGCAUGGCUGUCGUCAGCUCGUGUUGUGAAAUGUUUGGGUUAAGUCCCGCAACGAGCGCAACCCUUAUCCUUUGUUGCCCAAGCGAUUCGGUCGGGAACUCAAAGGAGACUGCCGGUGAUAAACCGGAGGAAGGUGGGGAUGACGUCAAGUCAUCAUGGCCCUUACGAGUAGGGCUACACACGUGCUACAAUGGCGCAUACAAAGAGAAGCGACCUCGCGAGAGCAAGCGGACCUCACAAAGUGCGUCGUAGUCCGGAGGAUCGGAGGGUCUGCAACUCGACUCUCGUGAAGUAUGCCGGAAUCGCUAGUAAUCGUGGAUCAGGGUUAAUGCCACGGUUCGGAAUACGUUCCCGGGCCUUGUWCACACUCCCGCCCUCCGUCACACCAUGGGAGUGGGUUGCAAAAGAAGUACGACGUUGAUCAU